rnacentral:rRNA from 2 species
GCGGCUUUGGUCGUCCGACGUCCUAUCCUAGAGAAGUGUUUUCCGCGUUGGACCGUGUAUAAGUCUCUUGGAACAGAGCGUCAUAGAGGGUGAGAAUCCCGUCUUUGACACGGACUACCAAUGCUUUGUGAUACACUCUCAAAGAGUCGAGUUGUUUGGGAAUGCAGCUCAAAAUGGGUGGUAAAUUCCAUCUAAAGCUAAAUAUUGGCGAGAGACCGAUAGCGAACAAGUACCGUGAGGGAAAGAUGAAAAGCACUUUGGAAAGAGAGUUAAACAGUACGUGAAAUUGCUGAAAGGGAAACGAUUGAAGUCAGUCGCGUUAGCUAGAACUCAACCAGGCUUGCUUGGCGUAUUUUCUAGUUAACGGGCCAGCAUCAGUUUUGACUGCAGGAAAAAGGCCAGGGAAAUGUGGCACCUUCGGGUGUGUUAUAGUCUUUGGUCAUAUACUGCGAUUGGGACUGAGGUUCGCAGCACGCGCAAGCUGUGCUUAGGAUGCUGACGUAAUGGCUUUAAACGACCCGU